AUUGAACGCUGGCGGCAGGCCUAACACAUGCAAGUCGAGCGGCAGCGGGAAAGUAGCUUGCUACUUUUGCCGGCGAGCGGCGGACGGGUGAGUAAUGCCUGGGAAAUUGCCCAGUCGAGGGGGAUAACAGUUGGAAACGACUGCUAAUACCGCAUGCGCCCUACGGGGGAAAGCAGGGGACCUUCGGGCCUUGCGCGAUUGGAUAUGCCCAGGUGGGAUUAGCUAGUUGGUGAGGUAAUGGCUCACCAAGGCGACGAUCCCUAGCUGGUCUAAGAGGAUGAUCAGCCACACUGGAACUGAGACACGGUCCAGACUCCUACGGGAGGCAGCAGUGGGGAAUAUUGCACAAUGGGGGAAACCCUGAUGCAGCCAUGCCGCGUGUGUGAAGAAGGCCUUCGGGUUGUAAAGCACUUUCAGCGAGGAGGAAAGGUUGAUGCCUAAUACGUAUCAACUGUGACGUUACUCGCAGAAGAAGCACCGGCUAACUCCGUGCCAGCAGCCGCGGUAAAAC
rnacentral:rRNA from 1 species